GACACUGGCCUUGGCAUCACACAAGCCAACAGACCUGGGGAGAGAAUACAACCUCUACACAGAAGGAUCCAAUUAAACACAGCAUACAGUCCCAAGCUGGGUGCUGCAGACAAAAAGACGGUUAUGACUUGUCUCUUGAGAAGUCUGCUAUCUGAUGGCAGAGACAGACUUUUAAACAACUAACCAUAAAGCAGAAGGGUAAGUGCUGCUUUUAUAGAAGGUUAUAUAUAAAGUCUUAUGAACAUAUAAAAAGGAGGCCAAGUCAUUGUAUCUGGGCUGCUUAAGGCAUAUAUCUCAGAGAAAGGGACAUUUGAAUUAGACUUUGCAGACAAAUAGGAGUUUGCUAGGUGAGAAGCAGCAGGAGAGAGUUUUUGGCAGAGAGAACUGAAAGAAGUAGAAACAUGAAAAAUGCAUGGUGCUUGGAAAGUAGGGAGCAGCUUAAUGUGGCUGAAGCUGAGGAUACAUGGAUGGCUGGAUAUAGAAGGUAAGAAAUGAAACUACAUAAUAAUAACAGUGAACACUUACUGAGUACUUACCACGUGUUUCCCUCCGUUAUGCGUGGUUUUUAUAAUGUAUCUCCUACCGAGCAUUCCUGGGUGAAAUUAGAUCACACGAGGGCUUAGAGGGUGAGUGCAAGGUUUUAUUGAGUGGUUGAAGGUGGCUCUUAGCAAGAUGGAUGGGGAGCUGGUAGGGGGGCAUGUUGGUGGCACCAGUUAGAACAGGUACAUUGUUGAACAAAUUCAGUCC
rnacentral:lncRNA from 1 species